GCAAAUACAGAAAAAUGAUACAGACAUAAAAGCUGUAGAAUGGACAGGGCUACAAAACUGCUAUCUCGGAUUUUUGAAAUUUUUGGAUUUUGACCCCCAAAAAUCAAAAAAUAGAUUUUUUGAAUCUAAUAGCCAAAAAAUCCAAAAAGUUUUUUGAAUUUCGAAAAAACCGGAAUAUAUGUGAUAGUCCUUACCACCUUCUAUCUACAUACCAAAUUUGAGAUCGAUACCUCUUUUUUUGGCCAAGUUAUAGCGAAAAAACUGUUCAAAAUUGAUGACGUCAAAUUUUCAAACUCAAUUUGCAGCAAUUCUAGACCUCGUAGCGCAAAACAAAGACCACCAUUAGACUCCCCGUGACGAGCUGCAUCGAAUCAAUACCCAUUUUAUGCAAAAAUAUCAACUUUGAAAUUUGACCUUUUUUGACCUGACCUUGACCUGACCUCGACCAGAAAGUGACCUAAACCGUACCUGAUGGUCUUAUAACCAACACCAUUGAGUUGGAAAUGAAAAACUGGCCAUAAAACAUGCAUCGCAUAACCUUAGUAAAGUUGGGUUCAUGUGGUGACCCUUGGUGACCUUUGGUGACCUGACCUGUGACCUGACCUGGUAUGACCAGUGACCUCUAACAGCAACAUAUCUACUAGGCAACUGACGCCCUAUCGCUGAUUCCCGACAAAAUGCGUUUUCCUCGGUGUUAUAGCGCAUUCCCUAGAAGACCCGUGAACGGUGAAACAUUUCAUCUUUGACCUGACCUGUGACGUCAUCGGUGACCCCGAGGUCAAUAAAAUUUGGUUUCCCUCGACAAAUUUGACAGGCCUUUCGAACGCCGUUUGAAUUUUUCGGAUCCGUCCAGUAGUUUCGGAGAUACGAGGGGGGGCAAAAAAUAGCCCCCCCCCCCCCACCAGGUCGCGUUAUAAACAGACCCCACCAGGGCGCGGGUUAAUGAGAUCGGGCUGCUCUGUGACGCUCUCGCCGGUCUCAACCUAUCUCCCCUCGAGCGCGCUGCUUACCGGGCUAUUUUCCCGCUAGCCUUCUUUGCCCUGCUGCGGCCAGGCGAAGUCGUGGCCGGCAGGUCAGUGGCGCACACUCUGCGUCUCGGCGGCGUUUGCAUCAAUGCCUCUGAACUCUCUGUCACGAUCCCGUCCUCCAAGACGGCCGCCGCUCCCCAGGUCAUCUCCCUCACCGCGCGGCCUGACAUCAGCGUGUGUCCCGUCGCCGCGCUCCGUGCAUACUUAUCUCUGCGCGGCGUCGGGCGGCCGCAGGACCCCCUGUUCAUCGGUGACUGUCAGCGCCCGGUAACAGCCCCGGCCCUCACGCGGGUUCUCCGCUUAGCGGGUCGCGCGAUCGGACUCGAUGUAGCUCGCCUUUCCGGCCACUGUCUCCGUAUCGGAGGCGCGUCCCAUGGCGCCUCGGUCGGCAUGUCUGAACUGCAGCUGUGUCAGGCGGGACGCUGGUCUUCCCGUGCCGUCCGCCGCUACGUGCGUCAGCCUGUCUCCGUCCUCCAGGCGACCUAAACUACCGGAGGUCGCGCUCGGCGAGCCCGUGCCACGCCCCCUGAUAACCCAGACGCCGUUAUUCCGGCCGCCGUUCGUGUUCGCGGUCGCUCGCAUAGCCCAGAUUCAGUGCUCGGACUGCCCGUUUACGUUCCACCCUGUGCGACCACUGCCCUCGUGGCGGAGCGGCAGCCUUCGCUGCCUGUUUGAUGGUCCAGUAGGAUGGUCCGCCGCCUCCGGCGGAGCGGGAGUCACGCCCAAGGUGUCUCACCAUCUUGGUCCUCUGCCUCGGUGCGUGCAUCUCCGACGUGGCGUGUCUGUCGGUGCUUGUGUGUUUUCCCUUUUUGUUUUGUUUUAGUUUUUUUUUUGCCCGCUGCCUGUUAUCGGGCCGGCAGCGAUCCCCCGCGUCGUGCGUAGCGGUGGCCGGCGGCCGUUUCGGGGCCGCUAACUGGACCGCCGCCUACAUGCGGAGCGGCAGCCCCGCUGCCUGUUUUGUGGUCCAGCUCGUCGGCCCCCCACGCCCCUCGGCGUAGCGGUCGCCGGCUGCCUGUUUUAGGGUCGCUACCGGCCGCCGCCCCUGGCGGAGCAGCAGACGGUCGCUAACCGGUGUUCCACAGGCCGUAAUGUUCAUCGUUCAUAUAUAUGUGGCACGCAACCUAUUAUCCCUUUCUGUUAGAACCGUAUUCUCCGCCGCCUCCGGUCUCGGGUGGGGGAGAUGGGCGGUUACCCUCGCCCAAAGACAUGAGUGGAGGGGCACCAGUCCAAUACAUUGACCCGUGACCACCAACGAUGUCUUUGCGAGCGCAAGCGGACGGAGAAAUGCACGUUUGGCUCGACUAGCCGCAACAGCGGCGGUCGGGCCAACGACCUUUCUCUGGCUGCGAGCGAGCGCCAUCCAGCGCCAUCUACGCAGCCGGGUGCGGCGCGCGUCAGUGUGCGUCAGCUCGCGUCGACGAGCGCACGCGAGUGUUUUACCGCCGCCACCCCGCCACCGCCGCGUUACAUGUCCCAUUUCUCCAUGUGAGUGUUUCCCUUGGCUAUGUAUUGGUCUCGUGUGUACGGCGGUUACCCUCGCCCAAAGACAUGAGUGGAGGGGCACCAGUCCAAUACAUUGACCCGUGACCACCAACGAUGUCUUUGCGAGCGCAAGCGGACGGAGAAAUGCCUGUGCGCCUGCGACACUCACACUGCAAAGCGAGGCAAACAGAAAGCAGCUCUUCAUGUGGCAGCAGCCAUCUUGCAGAGAGAGAGGUGUUUCUGCUCCUUUGGGAUUCCGAAGCUGCAAAACGUCGUCGCCACCAUCCCGAAGCCUGCCAAGUGUCCAAAUGGAACAGUUUCAGAGGCAUACAUCAAACAAUAUAGUGAUCGGAUCAUAAAGCAAUUCUGCGAUGGCGUCAAAGCAGACGAUGGAGAGAAUGUCACAUUCCCUGGUGGAAUAGGAAAGUACUCUGUCGACAGUGCAGGUCCUUUUGCUAGUUACUCGACCAUCGGAAGAUCUUUUUCGCAUCUCACUUUUCUUGCAUCGGCAAAAGAACAUAAGGCGAUGUAUCGCGGAAAUUACACCGUAACUCGUCACCAAAAGGAAGGCGUCGCCGGAAAUGGUCAGCGAGUGCUGCUAGAAAAAGAUGUGUUCCCGAGAAUGUUCCGUCUACGAAUCAUCACGGCCGAGAAGUACCACUGGAAAGAGGGAGUCGCCGUUCUCAGUUACUUUGAAACUAGCACAGGUAUGCGUGCUUUUGAGCCAGCUAAAACGGGAAAAUAAGCCACGCAUGGUGCGAUAGGCUAUCGGUGAUAUGGUGACCGUUGUAUGACCCAGCGCCACCCUACACAGCCCCUCCGACGGGCAGUGCCCUCUGUAGCUCAUCGGCAGCUCUGAGUUCACACUGUUUCACGCCCAUUGGCUGAGUCAUGGACUUCAAUACAUACCGAGGACCAUGGCAGGGGGAUCAUUAUCGUGACUCGUGAGUCUUGCGUGGUGUUGCGAGGUGGAUGUUUCAUAAAGUUGUAGCCUUUUGGUACCAUUACACGGAAAGUCCGUUCCAUUUUUCGAUCUCGCGAAUACUUCUAUGAUGCAAUAUUUAUGUAGGGAUGCUUUUGUAAACAUGAAUGACUCGAACAAAAUAAAGACGGCAAUAAAAAUGUA